rnacentral:rRNA from 1 species
UGCAAGGACGUGCAGAGGGCCGGGGUAGUACGGAGGGGGUGGGCGUUAAGCGGAAUUGCGGGGCGUAAGGCGGGGGCAGGCGGUUUGAUAAGACAGAGGUGAAAGCCCCGGGCGCCACCUGGGAACGGGCUUUGUGACUGCAAAGCUGGAGUGCGGCAGAGGGGGAUGGAAUUCCGCGUGUAGCAGUGAAAUGCGUAGAUAUGCGGAGGAACACCGAUGGCGAAGGCAAUCCCCUGGGCCUGCACUGACGCUCAUGCACGAAAGCGUGGGGAGCAAACAGGAUUAGAUACCCUUGUAGUC